rnacentral:rRNA from 1 species
AAUACUUAGGAAUCUGCCCAUUAAUGGGGGACAACAGUUGGAAACGACUGCUAAUACCGCAUACGCCCUACGGGGGAAAGCAGGGGAUCUUCGGACCUUGCGUUAAUGGAUGAGCCUAAGUCGGAUUAGCUAGUUGGUGGGGUAAAGGCCUACCAAGGCGACGAUCUGUAGCGGGUCUGAGAGGAUGAUCCGCCACACUGGGACUGAGACACGGCCCAGACUCCUACGGGAGGCAGCAGUGGGGAAUAUUGGACAAUGGGGGGAACCCUGAUCCAGCCAUGCCGCGUGUGUGAAGAAGGCCUUUUGGUUGUAAAGCACUUUAAGCGAGGAGGAGGCUACUAGUAUUAAUACUACUGGAUAGUGGACGUUACUCGCAGAAUAAGCACCGGCUAACUCUGUGCCAGCAGCCGCGGUAAUACAGAGGGUGCGAGCGUUAAUCGGAUUUACUGGGCGUAAAGCGUGCGUAGGUGGCCAAUUAAGUCAAAUGUGAAAUCCCCGAGCUUAACUUGGGAAUUGCAUUCGAUACUGGUUGGCUAGAGUAUGGGAGAGGAUGGUAGAAUUCCAGGUGUAGCGGUGAAAUGCGUAGAGACCUGGAGG